UACGUAGGGGGCAAGCGUUGUCCGGAAUCAUUGGGCGUAAAGAGCGCGUAGGCGGCCCUGUAAGUCCGCUGUGAAAGUCAAGGGCUCAACCCUUGAAUGCCGGUGGAUACUGCAGGGCUAGAGUCCGGAAGAGGCGAGUGGAAUUCCUGGUGUAGCGGUGAAAUGCGCAGAUAUCAGGAGGAACACCGGUGGCGAAGGCGGGUCUCUGGGCCGAUACUGACGCUGAGGAGCGAAAGCGUGGGGAGCGAACAGG
rnacentral:rRNA from 1 species